GACGAACGCUGGCGGCGUGCCUAAUACAUGCAAGUCGAGCGAAGUUUUUCUGGUGCUUGCACUAGAAAAACUUAGCGGCGAACGGGUGAGUAACACGUAAAGAACCUGCCUCAUAGACUGGGACAACUAUUGGAAACGAUAGCUAAUACCGGAUAACAGUAUUUCUCGCAUGAGAGAUAUUUAAAAGUUGGUUAUGCUAACACUAUGAGAUGGCUUUGCGGUGCAUUAGCUAGUUGGUGGGGUAAAGGCCCACCAAGGCGACGAUGCAUAGCCGACCUGAGAGGGUGAUCGGCCACACUGGGACUGAGACACGGCCCAGAAUCCUACGGGAGGCAGCAGUAGGGAAUCUUCCGCAAUGGGCGAAAGCCUGACGGAGCAACGCCGCGUGAGUGAAGAAGGAUUUCGGUUCGUAAAGCUCUGUUGUUAGGGAAGAAUGGAUAUGUAGUAACUAUACAUGUAAGAGACGGUACCUAACCAGAAAGCCACGGCUAACUACGUG
rnacentral:rRNA from 1 species